rnacentral:rRNA from 1 species
GACGAACCGAGCGAACGUUGUUCGGAAUCACUGGGCUUAAAUGGCGCGUAGGCGGGUGCUCAAGUCCGGGGUGAAAUCCUCCAGCUCAACUGGAGAACUGCCUCGGAUACUGGGUGUCUCGAGGGUGGUAGGGGUAUGCGGAACUAUCGGUGGAGCGGUGAAAUGCGUUGAUAUCGAUAGGAACUCCGGUGGCGAAGGCGGCAUACUGGACCACGUCUGACGCUGAGGCGCGAAAGCCAGGGGAGCAAACGGG